UGGGGAAUUUUGGACAAUGGGCGAAAGCCUGAUCCAGCAAUGCCGCGUGUGUGAAGAAGGCCUUCGGGUUGUAAAGCACUUUUGUCCGGAAAGAAAUCCUUGGCUCUAAUACAGUCGGGGGAUGACGGUACCGGAAGAAUAAGCACCGGCUAACUACGUGCCAGCAGCCGCGGUAAUACGUAGGGUGCAAGCGUUAAUCGGAAUUACUGGGCGUAAAGCGCGCGCAGGCGGUUUGCUAAGACCGAUGUGAAAUCCCCGGGCUCAACCUGGGAACUGCAUUGGUGACUGGCAGGCUAGAGUAUGGCAGAGGGGGGUAGAAUUCCACGUGUAGCAGUGAAAUGCGUAGAGAUGUGGAGGAAUACCGAUGGCGAAGGCAGCCCCCUGGGCCAAUACUGACGCUCAUGCACGAAAGCGUGGGGAGCAAAACAGGAUUAGAUACCCUGGUAGUCCACGCCCUAAAACGAUGUCAACUAGUUGUUGGGGAUUCAUUUCCUUAGUAACGUAGCUAACGCGUGAAGUUGACCGCCUGGGGAGUACGGUCGCAAGAUUAAAACUUAAAGGAAUUGACGGGGUCAUAGCUGUUUCCU
rnacentral:rRNA from 1 species